AGUUAGGGCUUUCUAUUGUGAUCUUCGCUUUCUCUAUAUCAUAUCGCCUCAAGCGGCGAGACAUCUUUGAACAUGAUCUUCCAUUUUUUCUUGUUGCUUAUCAAUAUUUAACUUUUGAUGUCUUCACUGGUUCACUUUCUCAAAUCGCAAAAGGAAGUAUCCUCCUUUAUCACCUUUUACAUCUUGUUUCUUCCUUGUUUGUAAUCUCUUCCUCUUUUACAGAGUUAUACUCUUGAUGAUGGAUAUAAUGAAUUUCAAUGCGAUUUUAAUAAACAUAUCAAAUCGUGUUGUGAGAAGAAUUUGUUAAAAGUAGCGAUUUCAAGAUGUUUCUCAUCUCCUUCCAAUGAGAGUUUUUCACAGUCACAGAUUCAGUCUCUCAUUAACUUUUUGAGUUCAAUAAAGUAUUUUUGGUCAAUAUCCAACAACAAGAACAGACUCAUCAAGAUCAAAUGUGAAUAUCAAGCGAGUUGAUGUAUAAAGUUCAUGAUUAAGAAAAAACAAACACUAGUAUAUGGAAUAAAUACAAUCACGAUAUUAAGAAAAUACAAGUUUGAGAUUUUCUUGUAUACUUCACAUACUAGUUUUUGCUUCUUUUUUUAAUCAAAAACUUGUAUCUUCAAUUCUUUUGAUAUUUCACUUUGAUCUUGAUGAUCUUGUUUCUUUUGUAGAAAUUAGGCUAAAAACUCUAUUGAAUGAAACGAAGAAAAAGAUAAAAUAAAUUAAAUUAUUCAAAAUCUUAAUUCAUCUGCCAAAAUAAAUUCAAAUUUGAACUUUUUUUCUCUUUUGUUAGUUCAAUGAAGUUUUUAAGCCAAUAUCCAUAAACAAACUCAUCAAGAUCAAAUGUGAAUUUCAAGCGAGUUGAUGAAUAAAGUUCAUUAUAAAAAAGAAACAAACAGUAGUAUAUGAGAUAAAUACAAUUAUAGUAUUUAAAAGAUACAAGCUUAAGAUUUUCUUGUACAAUCCACAUACUAGUUUUUGUUUUUUCUUGAUCAAAACUUGAAUCUUCAAUUCUUUGAUAUUUCACUUUGAUCUUGAUGAUCUUGUUUCUCUUGUAGGAAUUAAUCUAAAAACUCCAUUGAAUGAAAAGGAAAAAAAUAAAAAUUUAAAUUAAUUGUGGUGCAUAAAUAGUUUUUUUGGUAUAUAUAUAUAUAUAUAUUUAUUGACUUGUCUAUGAAAAUGUGUAUUAUUUUAAAUUAAAAGUCAAAUCCAAUCAAAAUGAAUGUGACAACAACAAUUUUAAGCCUUCUAUUGUUGAACACAAUUUACUCCUAUCAAAUUGAAAAUUUUCAAUGUAUUAUUGCAUUUAAUCUU